ACGCUGGCGGCGUGCUUAACACAUGCAAGUCGAACGAAGCACUUAUGACAGAUUCUUCGGAUGAUGGAUUAAGUGACUGAGUGGCGGACGGGUGAGUAACGCGUGGGUAACCUGCCUCAUACAGGGGGAUAACAGUUAGAAAUGACUGCUAAUACCGCAUAAGCGCACAAUACCGCAUGGUAUGGUGUGAAAAACUCCGGUGGUAUGAGAUGGACCCGCGUCUGAUUAGCUAGUUGGUGGGGUAACGGCCCACCAUGGCGACGAUCAGUAGCCGGUCUGAGAGGAUGAACGGCCACAUUGGGACUGAGAUACGGCCCAGACUCCUACGGGAGGCAGCAGUGGGGAAUAUUGGGCAAUGGGGGAAACCCUGACCCAGCAACGCCGCGUGAAGGAAGAAGGCCUUCGGGUUGUAAACUUCUUUUACCAGGGACGAAGAACGUGACGGUACCUGGAGAAAAAGCAACGGCUAACUACGUG
rnacentral:rRNA from 1 species